CUUCGGAUAUAGGAUCGAUUACAUGUGCUAUAUUCAUCCGUUCUAAAAUUUUCCAAAUGCCUGGGGCAUUAAGAAGGGAAAAGGUUUAGAACUGGAUAUGACUAAAAGGAUUAAACAAUUGUCGAGGACAAUCUAAGGUUUACCAAAGAUUGGUUGCUCAAGGACAGUUGGAAGUAUAGUGAUAAUUCUGGAAGGACCAUAUUGACAUAAUCUGUAAGGAGGCAACUCUUGUUCAGAAGUGAUAGUCAAAAUGGAAUCUGGAAAUGUUUCAAAGUUAGAAUUUUCAAUCUGUUUAAGAUUAGGAAACUUAAUGCAAGAAGGAUGUUUCCAAGGAGCUGAUCUCCUUUGGAAUACUCUGUAAUGAUUGUUGUCAAGUCUUUCUGACUUUGUGCAUAAUCAUUACAAGAGGAUCAAUGCAUAUAAGUUUAGAAUCUAACAGAUUUCAGUAAAUGGCAUGAAUUUGGAAUUCUUGCAUUUGCAGUAAGGAUUUGGGAGUGUGAAAAGAGAAUCAUUGAAGUUAUGUUCAAUUGAUCUAGUUCACAAAGUAAAGAUCAUAGACAAACAUAGUAUGCAUACUUGGUGUGUGGCAUGACUAGUGUUUAAGAAAACAUAGUGUACAUGCUUGGAGCAUGGGACAACUAUUGUUUUAAAUUCAAGAAUAAAGUUGAUAGCUGAAACAGUAUACAAUGAAUAAUGUGUAAUCAUAUGGUGAUAAAUAAAAGGUGUUUUAUUUAUGUUCAAAGAUUUGAUACCAUAUUGGAUUCAAUUAUUAUUGUGUUUCACUUUGCAUGUUUUGACUUCCCGAAUAAACUAGGUUAUUCUUCCGGAAUGACUAAGUUAUUCAAACCAUCCACAGUCGGUCAUAUGUUGGAAGUAGAUAUGAAUUAAGACUGUCAUGGGUUGGCUUGUAGAGGUCUAAGGUGUUGGACAAAGGGCUACAACACUCAUGAGUGCUCAUAAGUUCUGAGUAUUGGAUUCAACCCGCGCUCAUUGGAAUCACUUCAUGGAUUUUAUCACGAGUGAUCAUGAGACGAUAAUAUCUUAUAUUCUUCAAACCUAGAGAUAUGAGUUGUUACUAUGAGUUGGUUGUACAUUGAUUGCACGAAAACGCAUUUGGUAACUCGGUGCUAUAAAACGUGCCUUUGUGUAUGAUUCAACAAGUAGUAGAACAAGCCAUAUGAGUCGAAGUUUAUCCAUUCCUUUUACCUUCGGGAUAAAAGCGAUAUCUGUGGGCCCCUCGAUGAUUUGAUGAUGACAAAUGGAAGUGCUCGGCCGGGCCAGGACUGAUUUGAUUUGUUCAAUUAGUCAGUCGUCAUAAAUCGGAAAUCGGGAAACAACAAAUGGACAGAGAGAAUGAUUAUAAUCCAUGUCUCAGUCCAUAUGAUAUCUAGAAUGGAGGAAUAUAUGAUCCCUUAUCUAAUGGACAAGUUCGUUGACAAGAUCAGAGUUCGACAGCAGCUUUAAGAGCUACGAUUGCCAGUUAGGUUUGAAGUCAUACGCAAUAAUAGUUUUAGACUUAUCCAAGUGGGAGACUGUUGGAUUAAUGUCUAAGUCCAUAACUAUAUUUGGUAUGUACUUGACCCGACCCGGCAUGGUCCAUUUGGGUUGCACUUCACCGACACAAUUUAUAUGGAUAAUCUUUUGAGAAUAGUAUGUUUAUGAUUAAUAUUAAUAUAUUAUAAGUUCUAAUAUAUUAAUAUGGAAUCAUAUUAUUUAAUUAGUAUUGAUCAAGAAUUAAUUUAUAAUUAAUUAAGUGAUCAAAAGGAACUAAUUAAAUAUGGACUCUUAUAUAUAUGGAAUGGGCCAAGUUCAUUUAGGUUGGGCUAAGCUUUCAUGGAUAGUCCAUGGAGUGUUUAACCCAUGGAUCCUAGGAAAUGAAAGGUCAUGGGUAUUAGGGUUUAACCCUAAUCCUCCAUACUAUAUAAAGAUGUCUUUGGUUGGUGAAAUUGGCACUAGUGUGAUACACUAAGAGGGCUAGCCGAUUUCACUAAGAGAGAACCAAGUAUUCAUAUUCUCUAAAGUCUUCCAAGGUGUCUUGGUGAUUUGUGAUUCCACUUGAGGCUUCCACACUAUUGGGGCUAAGCUCUUAAAGCUUGAAGACAUCAAGCUACAUCAAAAGGUAUGUCUUCUAACUAGUACUUUGUAGAUUAAGAACAUCAUAAUAUGCUAGUUAGGAUUAAAGCCUUGGAAAGUUCUUAUUUGCAUGUAUAAUUGAGAAAACAUAGAUCCAAGGUUUAUAGGGUUGCAUGUACACCAUAGGAGUGUUAGAAUGCUCAAAACCCAACAGAUACACUCGACGAGUAGGAGCCCCAGACAGAAUAUUUUUGAGUUUUUUUGGCUAGAAAUGGACUAGGAACAUUACCCUAAGCUGUUUUUGGACUUAUAAACUUGUUUUUGAUGUGGUAAUGUUCAUGCUAACCCAAUUUCAAAGAUAAUUGUCAAUAGAUUCAUGUUUUGUGUUAGUUUAGUGAUUAGGCUAAUUAGAUGAAAACGUUUGAUUUGAAUUAUCUUGUUCUUAUGAGUUGCUUAGAUUAAUAGAAAAUUUAAUUGAUUAUGUGUUUUCAAUCCAUUUUAAUCUAAGAGUUGAUUCUAAAAUGUGUUUUUGUAACUUUUCCUCAAGUUAUAUGAAAAGUCACAUUUAAUUUUCAUAAAAGUCAUAAAAGUUGGCAAUGGUUACAAAAAAAUGAAGAGUCUUGUCCUCAAGUUAUGGAGGUUCAAGAGUCACUUCAUUAAGUAAUAAAAUGUGUAACCUUAAUUAAUUCCAUAAGUUACAAAAUCAAGAAAAGGUACAUUCUUUUAUUAGUUUAAAGUCUUCCAUAACUUGUCCUCAAGUUAUGGAACAUGAAGAGUCCUUUAUUUAAAACUACUUUAAACACAUAAGUUAUGAAAUUAAUUAGUUUUGAAUAGUUUCAAAACUUGCCCUCAAGUUUUGGAAUUAGAAAAGUUUUCACUUAUGAAAACUUUAAUUUCAAGUUAACCCAUAGAAUUUUAAAAGUUAAAAUUCAACCCUUAUACUUUAUAAUAUUAUAAGUUAAUAAUAUUUAUACAUAUGUAUAAGAGAAAGUCAGUCUUACCGUUAGUAGGUGUCAUUCACGAAGCCGGUCUAUAAGGGGGUAUAAGAUUACUGCCUAUAAAAUGGCAGUUUAAUGGGUGUCCACUCUCACCUACUGCUUUAUUGACUGGUGGAGGGUCUUUAGCCUAACAGGUAGGACAAGGACUACAAUUAUCCCUUCAUUAAAAGUAUUAAUGAUAAAUACUAAGUAACUAAACUCUUAUUGAUACCCAAUCUUAGUUACUUAGGAAAAAGUUGAAUAAGGUGCUAACCCAUGAAAUUAGACUUUGCACUUUGUUUAAGCUGUUACUGGAGCUUGUGUGGUUAACCGGCACACUAAUCUGGACUUAACAAGGUAGGCAAAGGGUAACUUAAUAUUUAUCAUUGUACCAGUGGAGCGUGUGUGGUUAACUGACACAUCGAUUAAGGGGUAAAUAUUAAGGGUACCCAAUAUAUUUGCAUGGUUACUUCAAACCUUGUUUUGUGAUCCUCAACAUCCCAGUCACAAAACCUGAAGGGCACACUCGAGAUUGAAACAUGCCAUUGAAAAUUUCAAUGAAUCUCAAAAGAUCUAGGAGUUUCAAAUCCAAUUAAGACUUAAUAAUACAUUGCGUUUAUCUUGGUGGAAACUGGUGAAUCGCAUUCACCUACCUUCAAAUAUUUUAUAGCUUGGAUUAUGGCAUCCCUCUUCCAAGUUAUAAAAGUAUUGUGUUGGGUCCUAGCCUUAAUAUUUCAUAUUAGGUGUCAUAUUAAGGACUUUAAAUCAACUAUCUUGAAUAUCUCCCAAAAAGAUGUCUGGUUUAGACAUUUAUGAUCUUCCCAAAUCUUUUGAAACAAGUUUUCCUAAAUGAAGAUGAUAUCCCAUGGAAAUCAUACAUCUUUCACCUCCUCCAAUUAUUCUCCUUAGCCCACAAGUUCUUGAAAAGUUUAAGGUCACUCAAGCCCUAUUGGCAAGCAAAGGUCUAUGUGCAAUCACAUCUUGGAGAUGUAGUCACAUAUUGACAAGCCGGAAGAGUUGGGUGUCAAAGUCUUGAGAAAGUUGGUGGUUCAAUCACUUUCUAAGUCACAUAGUGAGUUCCUUUGGGACACCUAUGAAACAGACUAUGACAAGACCCUUAAUGAUCUUAUCUAUUUGCUAUGAUCAACUUCCUAAAACUUAUGGAAAUUGACAAUAAUGACAUUGGAUAUCCAGUAAAGCUCUCUCUUCCCAAUGGAAAGGGAUCGGCCAUAGUCAACUCGAUUGACCAAAUGGUAAAGAGAAAGGCUAUAUCUGUGAUAGUCCAAUGUUCCAUUACCAAAGCGUCCAUAUGUUAAAUUUCCAAAGGAAGGGGCAUUGGUUGCGAGUCUGCCAAUUUACCUAAGGGUGUUAAAGUCAAUAAGGUUGACUCUACUUCAGGUAAAGUCCACUAUCUAACUCUGCUAAGUUUCUAUUCUGAGAUUCUUGAUACACGAUGUGAUUUGGUCACAUGGUGAUGUUUUAAGAAUCAAAGAAAUGUGAAGGAACUUAAAGAAAGAAUAUGUGGAAUCUGAUCGCGUAGAUGGAUCUCUAUCGCAUAGUUUGAAGAUCGGAUUGUUGAGCUACUUCUUAGGAGUUUUGAGAUAUUGCUUAGGAAUAGGUAACAACAAAGUUUCCAUGCUCCUUUGCAUUGUAAGGAUAGUUUUUCCUCAAAAAAAUUUUAAAAUAAAAGCAAAAAUUAUGAUUUUAUUUAUUUUAAAGUAUCCUUACAAUGGCAUUUGAGGAAAAAAUUGUUGCUUAUAUGAUUCCAUUAAUAGCAAGAGUGGAAAUAUGAAAUUGAUUCUUUCAUUUGUGGUAAUGUCUAAAUUUACCAAAUAAGGAAAGAUCCUCGAUGCCCAAGUUUCAAUUGGACCGGAACUUGGAAUCAUGAAAGUUGUAUAGCAUGAUGAAUGAGAAAUUUUCAUUUUUGAAAAAAUUAAGACUAACUAUUUGUUCACAUAGAUGUGUGAGUCAAGUAACGGACUAAGGUAUCAAGUACACAUUCUUGUGUACUGAUUAAGUCCACCAUGAAAGUUCGAUAAGACUAUUCGUCAUGAUUUAUAUAAGUUCAGUAAAUAUGGUUAUACUUACAAGUUUAAGUAUAAUUCUGAAACAUUGGAAAAUUUUCAAUGUAAAGUAGAACGAAUAAGAAGAGUCAAAUUAGGCAGAAAGAUAAAAGUUUCUGAAAUCUAAAAAGAUGGGAGAGUACUUUAGUAUCAGUUUUUGUGAUCAUCUUAAUGAUUAAGAACCCAUAGCACAAUUAGUUCUCUAAGGAAAUCUUAGUGCAUUCUUAUGAUUAAGAAGAGGAAUCUUGAAUUGUUGAAAUGGUUAAAUCAAGAAGAUGAGUCAUACUUCAUUCCAAUACAAGUCUUAGAGUCAUACUCCAAGAUUGUAACUUGAGUGACAUGUCUUAUAGAAGGUUUAAAACACAUGACAAAUAUAAGAGUAAAAGUUUUCUACUCUUGUAUAUUUGAAAUUGGUAAGUUGUGAUGCUUUGGAUAAAACAAAGACCAACUAAGGCCAAUUGUGUGAAGUGUUUGCCUUGAUUAGAAUCCACACUAUAUCUUGAAUAUCUGACAAGAAAGUCUUAUAUGUCAAGAGGAUAGUGGGAGUCUUAAAGGUCUUGAAAGUCUCAAGAACUAAUCAAGAAUAAAACCUGAAGUUCUUCACUAGCACACGACUUGAGGUUUUUAACCUAUCGUGUUGACAUAUUUUGUGCCUAUUCCAAUUAAAGUUGGCUUUGCAUAAGAGUUCUUCAAGUUCUCAACUGGUUGCAUAUCAACUUGGAAGCAAUGGCAGACCCUUGAACUUCCAGGUGGAAAGAAAUUAAGAUUGCACAAGUUCAGUCCAUAUGAGUUUGAAUUUGUCAUUAUCCUUCUCUUGUGACUAUGGUUUUGACAAUUCACAUGGAUAAGAACACAUACACCAUUAAAUCUAAGUAUCAUAAGGUUUCUCUCUGAUUCAUGAAAAUGAUCGUAAGGAAACACUUUCACUAAGUAGAUUUUAGCUAGAUAGCAAUUGUGAUAUUUGCAUUCUCAAAGUCGUUAGUGGUUUACCGGUACACUAACAUGGUCUUGUGAGAAGUGAAAAUGGUCUAAACAAUCAAGACUAUGAUUAUGACAUCCCUUUUCAUAGUUCUUAAAAUUGUUUAGAAACACAUGUGAGCUAUCUAAGAUAAGGUGUAUGAUUGUGAUAAAGUUUUAUCAAAGCAAUCUAGUAUCAGAAAUCUGAACUUUGGAAAGGAAGUCAAUAAAGUAUUGAUUUCUAGAAGUCCAGCUGAUUUCUGAGUACGUGUCAAAUCUAGUGGGAGCAUAAGUGUUAUGCUAAUAAUCAUCACGUUAGUGGGUGCAUGAUAAUUAUGAUAAGUAUUGCAAGUCAGCAAUGUUAAUUAUAGAAAACAAAAAGUUUCAAUUGGGAAAGAGNGUUAGCAAUGUUAAUUAUAGAAAACAAAAGUUUCAAUUGGGAAAAAGUUGUUUUGCUAUAAUUAAGGGAGAGGAAAUUAUGCUUCAUCUCAAAUCUAUAAGCUUAGAUCGUGAGGUUUUAAUCAUUUAGUCAAGGAUAUAUAUGAAUUUCAUGUUGGAAUGGCUCAACAUAAGGAAAUUCUGUAUAUGGGUCCAUUAUUUGCGUUCUAAAAUUCGAUUAUGAUUACGGCAUCCCUUUUCAUAAUCUGAAUUAUGAGAACUUGGCAAAUAGAAAUGGAAAUGUUAUAGCAAAAGACUGGUUUAGUCUUUAUGUGAGAUAUCAUGAAUCGUGUCCCAUAUGCUUCGGAUAUAGGAUCGAUUACAUGUGAUAUAUUCAUCCUUUCUAAAAUUUUCCAAAUGCCUAGGGCAUUAAGAAGGGAAAAGAUCUAGAAUUGGAUAUGACUAAAAGGAUUAAACAAUUGUCGAAGACAAUCUAAGGUUUACCAAUGACUGCUUGCUUAAGGACAGUUGGAAGUGUAGUGAUAAUUCUGGAAGGACCAUAUUGACAUAAUUUGUAAGGAGGCAACUCUUGUUCAGAAGUGAUAGUCAAAAUGGAAUCUGGAAAUGUUUCAAAGUUAGAAAUUAUUCAAUCUGUGUAAGAUUAGGAAACUUAAUGCGAGAAGGAUGUUUC
rnacentral:lncRNA from 1 species